AAUCUUCUGCAAGGGACGCAAGUCUGACGGAGCAACGCCGCGUGAGUGAUGGAGGGUUUCGGCUCGUAAAACUCCGUUGUUAAGGAAGAACACGUGAGGUAGUAACUGGCCUUAAUAUGACGGCACUUAACCAGAAAGCAACGGCGAACUACGUGCCAGCAGCCGCGGUAAUACGUAGGUGGCAAGCGUUAUCCGGAAUUAUUGGGCGUAAAGCACGCGUACGCAGUAAAAUAAGUCUGAUGUGAAAGCCCCCGGCUCAACCGGGGGGGGUCAUUGGAUACUGUUUUACUUGAGUAAAGAAGAAGAGAGUGGAAAUCAAUGUGUGGCGGUGAAAUGCGCGCAGAUAUAGAGGACAAACAGUGGCUAAGGCGGCUAUCUGGUCUGUAACAGACGCUGAGGUACGAAAGCGUGGGGAUCAAAC
rnacentral:rRNA from 1 species